UAUGCAUUUCAGGUGAGAGCCUUCUUUCCGAGGGGGGCCAGGGUCCUCAGGCCUCAUGUACUCAGCACCUCUGCAAUGGAGAACAACUUUUGAGGAAGGUUUGCCACCUACUCAAUUAAAGGAAUUUGAAGGGACCGGGAUUCUCCCACCGUGAUUCAAGACGGACUCGAGGGGAACGCCUCAAGACCUAAGGUUGAGGAGGACCGGGUUAGAGUGCUUCUGGAGGGGCUGGAUGUGUUCAAAGAAGCAGGUCCAGAUGCUCUCCACCCCAGGGUGUUGAGGGAGCUAGCAGGGGUUAUUGAAGGGCCCUUGGCACGGCUUUACGAGCGCUCGUGGUGCUCGGGCCAGGUGCCAGAUGGUUGGAACAUAGCCAAUGUGGUCCCCAUCUUUAAAACAGGGAGGAGGGAGGACCCGGGCAACUAUGGGCCUGUCAGUCUUACCUCAAUCCUGGGGAAACUCUUUGAGAAGAUCAUCAAGGAGCACAUCUGUGAUGGGCCGGCAUCGGGGAUGAUGCUCAAGGGCAACCAGCACGGUUUCAUUAGGGGCAGGUCAUGUCAGACCAACCUGAUUGCCUUUUACGAUCAGGUCACAAAAGCAUUGGAUGCAGGUGUCGCCAUGGAUGUAGUCUUUCUGGACUUCAGCAAGGCCUUUGACACUGUCGACCACCCCAUCCUCAUUAAAAAACUAGGCGACUGUGGCAUCGAUGCCUACACAGUCAGAUGGAUUGCAAAUUGGCUGAAGGGUCGUACUCAGAGGGUGGUGGUGGACGGGUCAUAUUCGACCUGGGGGGAAGUGCGCAGCGGAGUCCCCCGGGGCUCGGUCCUUGGGCCCGCACUGUUCAAUUUCUUUAUCAGCGAUUUGGAUGCAGGGUGAAAAGCAACCUGUUCAAAUUUGCUGAUGAUACCAAAAUUUGGGGUGAGGUGGGCACAUUAGCAGGGAGGGAAAGACUGCAGAAAGACCUGGAUAGGUUGCAGGGGUAGGCUAACAAAAACAGGAUGCGUUUCAAUAUGUACAAGUGCAGGGUGCUGCACAGCACACUUAUAAGAUGGGAAACUCCCUUCUUGAGAACACGGAGGCAGAAAGGGAUCUUGGAGUCAUCAUUGAUUCCAAGACGAACAUGGGCCGACAAUGAGAGGUCACGGUUGGCAGGGCUAACCGGACCUUAUUGUGCAUCCACAGGUGCAUCUCAAGUAGGUCCAAGGAGGUGAUCCUCCCCCUCUACACGACACUGGUCAGGCCACAGCUGGAGUACUGUGUCCAGUUCUGGGCACCCCACUUCAAGAGGGAUGUGGACAACAUUGAGAGGGUCCAGAGGAGGGCCACCCUCAUGAUCUGGGGACAGCAGGGCAGACCCUACAAUGAGAGGCUACGGGACCUGAACCUGUUCAGCCUUCACAAGAGAAGGCUGAGGGGGGACCUGGUGACCGUCUAUAAACUCACUAGCGGGGACCAGCAGGGUUUGGGGGAGACCUUGUUUCCCCUAGGGCCGCCCGGGAUAACAAGGAAUAACGGCCACAAGUUGUUGGAGAGUAGGUUUAGAUUAGAUAUCUAUAAGAACUACUUCACAGUUAAGGCGGCUAGGAUCUGGAACCAACUUCCAAGGGAAGUUGUGCUGGCUCCUACCCUGGAGGUCUUUAAGAAGCGGCUUGAUGCCUACCUGACUGGGGUCAUUUGAGCCCAGUUUUCUUCCUGCCCAGGCAGGGGGUCAGACUUGAAGAUCUACAAGGUUCCUUCCGACCCUACUUCUAUGAUUCUAUGAUUAAGGUAGUGAACAGCAAUUUAGUCUUUGUAGAAAAAAUAAAGUAGUUAACAUUUAUGUUACCCCGUAUUUACAUUCACAAUACAUAUGUAAUGAUUGCCUAUUACAGAAUGACAUAUCUUGCUAAUAUGGUAUUUGGUACUGUAUUCAUAUGGUGGUAUGUUAGGAAUGGAUAGAGUAUAUUAUCUAGUGUUUCUCAAUCAGUGGGAUGUGUCCCACUGGUGGGACUCGAAGGUCUUGUAGGUGGGACUUCAACUCAUUGCCCAAUUGAAAAAAUCAGUUGUUUGCACUUCAGAUAGAUAAUCAACAUAUAUCUCAAACAGUGCAAUUUUGUGGGAUUUUGGUUUUAUCAUGGUGGGACCAGGGUUUUUUGACAAAAUGGUUGGUGGGACGUAAGGUGCAAAAGGUUGAAAGGAGCUGUUACAGUACUGUGUCAAAGGUCUAUUUCUCUGUAAAAUGAAUUGGUUACAAAUCAUCUUUUUCUCUUACAAUGUAUCUGUAUUUGGAAUGUAAACAGUAGCAAUAAUGACUAGAAAGUAAACAACAGAUGCCCUGGAUCCAAAUGUAUUUAGAUCUAUUAUACACAAAACAAUAUGCAAGCAUGGUGUAACGAGGUUUAAAAAAGCCUCUAUAAUCAAACAAAAGGUAAAUCCAAAUACUUUUAGCUAAAUUCUUAAGUGAAAAGUCUACCUGUUUGUGACUGCUUAUUUUCCUUGAGAUUGAAGAAACGUUAAAAGAAAUUACAGAAUAAUUUGAUUUUCUGAUUUCUUUGACCCAUAUUUAUUACCCAGGUUAGAGACUGCACUGUUCAAUAAUUGUGUUCUGGCAAGUAAUAUUAGAAAAUAAUAUUUUGCACCUUUAGUUUAUUAUGGUUAGUAAAAAAGAAAUUAUUUGUGUUGGAAGUGCUUUUAGUUUUUGUUUUACCAUUUAUCCUGAAAAGAAAUGCAUUUCCAAGUUUGUUUUCACCUCCCCAUAAAAUUGAGUCUGAUUAAUAGAGCUGUCCUAAUGAUAUCUCAGUGUUUUAACUGUCUCUGUUCUAGAUUCUUUUUCAUUUCCUAAUGAUUAUAACCCUUCUUUGGGAUGCCAGCAGUUAAACUGUGACACAGUCUAGAGGCAAGCAUCCUAUUUGGAGGAUACCUCUGUGAAGCAUUACAAAUCUGAAUCCAGUUGUAUCAGUGUCUAGUAAAGAAGUUGCCUGAGGCUCCAGGCCUUGUGAUGAUAACAAAAUUUACAUAGAAGUUGUAGGGAUCAAAGAUGGUAAUCAAUAUAUAUAUAUAUUGAUUUUAGUCUUAGAAAAGGUGCAGAAUGAGGGAACAGCAAAAGUUCAUUAAGAUGAUUCUUACUUUAACACAGUUUGCCUUCCCAAGUUGCAUCGGAAAAGGGUGGUGCUUUUCCUGCAAAUUAAUAACACUUACAUAGUCUGUCAGGAAGGAGUGAGGGUAUGAAAUGGCAACUUCACCUUCUCCAGAAGCAGAUGUCAUUUCUGUGAGGCUUUCACCAGCCAUGGAAGUGCCAACAGUAGUCUUUCAAUACUUGUAAAGGCCAAUAGCAUGUGAGAAGUCUAUCAAGAAGUGUACACAUGCUUCAAUAAACAUAACCAAGGAAAUCAGUUUAUAAAAAUGAUAUAUUUAUUUUCAACUCAUAACACUAGCAGAACAGCUUUUGCAGAAGUUCCUAUGCCCUGGGCUUCCUGUAUGAAUUCAGCUUUGCAUCUGUUCUCAAUCUGCUGUACAGAUUUUUCCUUAAAUUUAAAUUUAAAGGUUUACCACAGGUGGGGAUUGGACACCCAAUCUGCAAAGCACCUCUCUGAAUUUAUAUCAUAGAAGCUGAUAUGGCAUGUUUCCAGAAAUUAGGGGAGCCAGGGCAAGCAGUUUGUGUGUCAGUGAUAGUAUCUGCAUAUUUAGAAGUCCAAAUACCUCUAGAAAUUUUUUCCUUUGUAAUAAAAGGCUGGACAGUGCUACUGUGGCCCCACAGCCAAUACGUACCAGAGAGAGCAAGAUUGCACACUAAUUAUUUAAUUAAACAUGUAAUUACAAAUAUUGAAAUAUUUGAAAUAUAUAUUUAAACAUCUAGAACUCUAAACAUUUUCAUACUAACAUUUUUGGAGUUUUGUGCCUUUGUUUCUCCUCUUAAGAGGUCAAGCAAAGUAGUUCAAUAUACUUAUUUCAGUUUCAUGUAGUUAUUGCACUUUUUUGAAGUCCAAUGUCUUUUAGCAAAAUAGAGAGUAGUAGUCCAUCAGGAUGAGCUUUGGAAGUAAAACUAGUCUGGUAUCUCACUGCAAGAGAAUCACUUGAAGAAAAAAACUAACAUCUGCAAAAUCCCAUUUUUUUCCUUUCAGUGCUGUGACAAAAUUCCAGAGCAUUUAUAUAAACUUCAUGAGAAAUACAAGUCUGGAUACAGGCCAAGUAUUACAUAUUUCAUUAUUGAUUUUCUAAGAAAAUGAGUCAUUUAAAAUUUGGUUUUAUGAUCUGAAUCCUCAGUGCUUUGCCAGUGGGAACUAUCCAGUGCCCAUUUGGGACUUUGGGCAGGUGCAAUAUUCUGUCUGUGAGCAAUUCAUUAUAUAAGAUUAGGGCUGUAGAUUAUAGCUCAGUUACUAUAAAUGCUAUCUCUUCCUUCAUUACAGCUUCAUUAUUCUAAUUCACUACUAAUUCCAGCCUUAGGAGUCAGUUCAGAUAAUAUAAUCAAUUGCUUAGGAUCAGCGGUGUAGUUUGUGAAGAGUGUGAAAAUCAAACACUUGUUCAGUAAUUAAAUUCUGUCCUGCCGGAAGGGACCUCAAUAAAUCAUAGAGUCCGACCCCUUGCAUAGACAGGAAAGAGUGCUGGGUUCAGAUGACCCCAGCCAGAUGCCUAUCUAACCUCCUCUUGAAGACCCCCAGGGUAGGGGAGAGCACCACCUCCCUUGGGAGCCCAUUCCAGAUUUUGGCCACUCUAACUGUGAAGAAGUUCUUCCUAAUGUCCAGUCUAAAUCUGCUCUCUGCUAGCUUAUGGCCUUUAUUUCUUGUGACCCCCAGGGGCACCUUGGUGAGUAGAGCCUCACCAAUUCCCUUCUGCGCCCCCAUGAUGAAUUUAUAGGUAGCCACAAGGUCACCUCUCAACCUUCUCUUGUGGAGGCUGAAGAGGUCUAGGUGCCCUAGUCUCUCCUCGUAGGGCUUGGCCUGCAAGUCCUUAACCAUACGAGUGUCCCUUCUCUGGACUCUCUCCAGGUUAUCCAAAUCCCUCUUAAAGUGUGGUGCCCACUUUAUCUACUGAUGCAUGAUAAAGUGCAGUUAGCUUUGCUGAUGAAAUUGCUGAGUUCAAAAUUUCAAAAUUGCAAAUUGCUUUGCUGAUGAAAUUGAUACAUUGAAAUUAGCAUCUGCAUUUGCAAAUAAUAUUUUGACUGUCAUUCAUAAAAUUACCUAAAUGAGAAGAUCACAUUGCAAGAAGUAGUACAGAAACUUUCAGAAUCUAUUCCAGUUCCCAGUUAAAGGGAAGUGACAUCUAACUAGGCAAUGAGGAGAUGGACUUAAAGGAAAACCAGAACCUUGAAUAACUUAGGAAAAUUGGAAGAGAAUACCUGAAUCGAUUUGGAAAUGUAACUCACUAUCAUAAUGUUAUAUAUGCUAUAUUACUAACAUAGGAGUUUAAAAUAAAAGGUUAUUUAAGUACAUUUCUCUCUCUUUCUAUACCUAAUGAAGCAUGUUUCACAUGUGAAAGCUUGUCUGAGUCUAUCCUAGUCAUGCAGUCAGCCCAAUAAAAGAUAUGACCCACAAUAAUCCUUGCCGCCUUUUCCCUAGGAAGCUUGGAGCUUGUACCUAGUUAGACGUGGCAGUCAAGUCCUAUGAAAUAGGUUGCUUAUUUGUUCUAUUUAUUUUGAUAUGAUUAUGCAGCCAGGGCUCCAGGCAACUGACAGGGAAUUUGAGCCUAUUUUUCAUAUGAAGUUAUGUAAAUCUAAUAAAAAUGGUUUCUUUCAUAAGGAGGUUGAUUUGUUGUUUAGUAAAGGAAUUGGGGUGAUUAAGUAGAGGAAAAGGGAUAUAGUUAUGGUGUGGUUUAUAAUUAACCAAAAUAAAUGUAAGUAAAUGGAUAUUAUGUAUCUUUGAAUACAGAGAAAUAAAUCAUUGAGAUGAAUCAAAGGACACCAGGCAUUUAUUUAGGACUUACUUUUUCUUGAUAACUUUCAUCAAAUACAUCCCCAGAGUUUUAUAAAUUAUGUCCCCCUUCCUGAAAAAAAAUGUGACUGCCAGAAUCACUGAAAUGCAGUUGUCUCAAGGCUGGAAGGUAGCAGCUCUUUAACAGUUGAUAACUUUAGAAAACCAAAGGGUACAAGAAGUGAAGAAUAAUGUUAAAUUGAACUUUUGAGGUAAACUUUGGAGACAGAAUUAUAACGCUUAAGAGUUAAGAGAUGCUCAUAUGUAGUUUCGUGGUGUUUUUCAGUGUUGUUAUGCUGUAAACAGCAACAAAAUUGUUGGAGAAAAUGAUUAAGGCAAGGGUGUGGUGGCAGAUAAAGCAAUAAAAAAUGUGAAUGUUUCUCUGCUGUUUUCAUCUGAAGGCUUCUUUCCACAGUGUUGACUUUUGACUUUGCUGUAUUUAGUCAGGCUGAACCUUUCUCUUACAAAACACACUUUUGAAAGGUUACAGGUCAGUCUGGGUGGAGAAGAUUCAUCACAUGUGCCCAACCAGGAUUUUAUGGAAGUUAGUCAGGCCAGCUUUAUUGUCUAGUACAAGAGGAUACACAUUUGAUAGUCAAAGAUUGAUUAAGGGGUAUCUGGGCACACGUCGCUUUAUUGCUGCAUUUCUAGAGCUUGCAUAUAUAUAUUGGAUCCAUUCUCAGUUCCUGUGCCAAAACACUGGGAAGUAUGAUACUAUCAUUUUUAUUUCAGGACUUUGUUUCAAACCAUGAUUUAACUAUGGUUAAUAAAUACAUGUAUCUGGCUCCUUA